GACGAACGCUGGCGGCGUGCUUAACACAUGCAAGUCGAACGGAAAGGCCCUGCUCUUGCGGGUUGCUCGAGUGGCGAACGGGUGAGUAACACGUGAGUAAACUGCCCUUGUCUUUGGGAUAACUCCAGGAAACUGGGGCUAAUACCGCAUAGAAGCUCCUGCUGCAUGGUGGUGGAUGGAAAGAGACGGCGGUUGGGGAUGUUCUGGCGGCUUAUCAGCUUGUUGGUGUAGUAGUGGCUUUCGAAGGCUUGGACGGGUAGCCGGCAUGAGAGGUGGGCCGGCGACCUUGGGACUGAGGUAGGGCGCAGACUCCAACGGGAGGCAGCAGGGGAAAAUAUUGCAGAAUGGGCGCAAGCCUGAUGCAGCGGCGUUGGGUGCGGAAUGACGGGCUACGGGGUGUGAACAGCUUUCGCCUGUGACGAAGCGUGAGUGACGGUAAUUGGUAAGGAAGCACCGGCUAACUACGUG
rnacentral:rRNA from 1 species